GGCGGGAGAUGUUUGCGAGCCUGCGCUUAAGUGCGCGGCAAGCGGUGUCUCCAAUUCACGCUGGUUAUUCUUACACACUGUGGAGUAUUUUCUACUUUUAUUAUCGAGGCGCUUGCGCUUCAACACCAAAACACAAACAAUCUAUUUUUAUUUUAUACCUAGUCAAAACAAAUCUGUCUCUGACAGUAACCAAAAUAUUCAAAACUUUCAACAACGGAUCUCUUGGUUCUCGCAUCGAUGAAGAACGCAGCGAAAUGCGAUACGUAAUGUGAAUUGCAGAAUUCCGUGAAUCAUCGAAUCUUUGAACGCACAUUGCGCCCCUUGGUAUUCCAGGGGGCAUGCCUGUUUGAGCGUCAUUUCCUUCUCAAAUACUUGUAUUUGGUUGUGAGUGACACUCUGUUUUUCUGAGUUAACUUGAAAUUGUUGGCCGCGGGCCAUUGCAGCUAGUGUUAUUCUGCGUCUUUCGCAGGGGCACGGCAUGUCGUAUUAGGUUUUACCAACUCCGGCACGUUGUCCUCUGAUCCAAACGGAAGUAGUAGAGCAUUGCUUCAAGCCCUGGCAAACAGUACUCUUUAAGUUGACCUCAAA
rnacentral:rRNA from 1 species